CCUACGGGAGGCUGCAGUGGGGAAUAUUGGACAAUGGGCGAAAGCCUGAUCCAGCCAUGCCGCGUGUGUGAAGAAGGCCUUCGGGUUGUAAAGCACUUUCAGUGGGGAAGAAAGCCUUGGGGCUAAUACCCUCGAGGAAGGACAUCACCCACAGAAGAAGCACCGGCUAACUCCGUGCCAGCAGCCGCGGUAAUACGGAGGGUGCGAGCGUUAAUCGGAAUUACUGGGCGUAAAGCGCGCGUAGGCGGUCUGAUAAGCCGGUUGUGAAAGCCCCGGGCUCAACCUGGGAACGGCAUCCGGAACUGACAGGCUAGAGUGCAGGAGAGGGAGGUAGAAUUCCCGGUGUAGCGGUGAAAUGCGUAGAGAUCGGGAGGAAUACCAGUGGCGAAGGCGGCCUUCUGGACUGACACUGACGCUGAGGUGCGAAAGCGUGGGUAGCAAACAGGAUUAGAUACCCUUGUAGUC
rnacentral:rRNA from 1 species